AUUGAACGCUGGCGGCAGGCUUAACACAUGCAAGUCGAGCGGUAACAGAGAGAAGCUUGCUUCUCUGCUGACGAGCGGCGGACGGGUGAGUAAUGCCUAGGAAUCUGCCUAGUAGUGGGGGAUAACUUGCCGAAAGGUAAGCUAAUACCGCAUACGUCCUACGGGAGAAAGGAGGGGACCUUCGGGCCUUUCGCUAUUAGAUGAGCCUAGGUCGGAUUAGUUAGUUGGUGAGGUAAUGGCUCACCAAGACCGCGAUCCGUAACUGGUCUGAGAGGAUGAUCAGUCACACUGGAACUGAGACACGGUCCAGACUCCUACGGGAGGCAGCAGUGGGGAAUAUUGGACAAAGGGGGGAACCCUGAUCCAGCCAUGCCGCGUGUGUGAAGAAGGUCUUAGGAUUGUAAAGCACUUUAAGUUGGGAGGAAGAGCAGUUAACUAAUAUUUGACUGUUUUGACGUUACCGACAGAAUAAGCACCGGCUAACUUCGUG
rnacentral:rRNA from 1 species